rnacentral:rRNA from 1 species
GAGGAGUAUUGGGCAAUGCCCGAAAGGGUGACCCAGCAACGCCGCGUGGAGGAUGAAGGUCGUAAGAUCGUAAACUCCUGUUAGAGGGGAAGAAUAACUAAGUGUGGAGCUUAGUAUGACUGUACCCUCAGAGAAAGCCCCGGCUAACUACGUGCCAGCAGCCGCGGUAAUACGUAGGUGGCAAGCGUUGUCCGGAUUUACUGGGCGUAAAGGGCGCGCAGGCGGAAUGGAAAGUCAGUGGUGAAGUCCUACAGCUUAACUUUAAAACUGCCUUUGAUACGUUCAAUCGUGAGUUCGGGAGGUAGAGACGGAAUUCCAGGUGUAGUGGUGAAAUACGUAGAUAUCUGGAAGAACACCGGUUGUGAAGGCGGUCUCUUGGUCCGAUACUGACGCUGAGGCGCGAAA